rnacentral:rRNA from 1 species
AGUGAACGCUGGCGGUAGGCCUAACACAUGCAAGUCGAACGGCAGCACAGUAAGAGCUUGCUCUUACGGGUGGCGAGUGGCGGACGGGUGAGGAAUACAUCGGAAUCUACUUUUUCGUGGGGGAUAACGUAGGGAAACUUACGCUAAUACCGCAUACGACCUACGGGAGAAAGCAGGGGAUAUUCAGACCUUGCCUGACUCAAUGAGCCGAAGUCGGAUUAGCUUUUCUGCGGGGUAAGGGCCCACCAAGGCGACGAUCCGUAGCGGGGCUGAGAGGAUGAUCAGCCCCACUGGAACUUAGACACGGUCCAGACUCCUACCGGAGGCACCAGUGGGGAAUAUUGGACAAUGGGCGCAAGCCUGAACCAGCCAAACCGCGUGGGUUGAGAAGGCCUUCGGGUUCUUAAGCCCUUUUUUUGAGGAAGAAAAGCAGCAGGUUAAUACCCCGCUGUUCUGACGGUACCCAAAGAAUAAGCCCCGGCUUACUUCGUG